rfam:Mesocricetus auratus contig066903, whole genome shotgun sequence.
UUACUUACCUGGCAGGGGAGAUACCAUGAUCAUGAAGGUGGUUUUCCCAGGGUGAGGCUUACCAUUGUACUCCAGAUGUGCUAACCCCUGCGAUUUCCCCAAAUGCAGGGAAACUUGACUGCAUAAUUUGUGGUAGUUGGGGACUAUGUUCAUGCUCUCCCCUG